rnacentral:rRNA from 1 species
AUUGAACGCUGGCGGCAGGCCUAACACAUGCAAGUCGAGCGGUAGCACAGGAGAGCUUGCUCUCUGGGUGACGAGCGGCGGACGGGUGAGUAAUGUCUGGGAAACUGCCUGAGGGAGGGGGAUAACUACUGGAAACGGUAGCUAAUACCGCAUAAUGUCGCAAGACCAAAGAGGGGGGCCUUCGGGCCUCUUGCCAUCAGAUGUGCCCAGAUGGGAUUAGCUAGUAGGUGGGGUAACGGCUCACCUAGGCGACGAUCCCUAGCUGGUCUGAGAGGAUGACCAGCCACACUGGAACUGAGACACGGUCCAGACUCCUACGGGAGGCAGCAGUGGGGAAUAUUGCACAAUGGGCGCAAGCCUGAUGCAGCCAUGCCGCGUGUAUGAAGAAGGCCUUCGGGUUGUAAAGUACUUUCAGCGAGGAGGAAGGCAUUGUGGUUAAUAACCACAGUGAUUGACGUUACUCGCAGAAUAAGCACCGGCUAACUCUGUGCCAGCCGCCGCGGUAA